rnacentral:lncRNA from 1 species
AGGCCAGUUCAGUGAUCUGUGCUUCGAUCAUCAACCAUAGUGAGUAGCUUCAGUCAGCAGUAUUGCUCUUCCUUCCCAAAAUCAUACCCUGGACGCGCCCAAUUCCAUCGAUUAAGGCACUGAACGUGUCUGGUGACCACACCUGCAGAUAUUCCACUUCACCGUGGCCAGGUAUGCUCAGAAAGUUUCUCACCCGUGUGGCUUGUGUUCCAUGAUCUGUACUGGUCAGUGGCUGCUGAUCAAGUGGUUUGUUCAAGCUCUACCGCCAUACGUUGAGUAGAACACGGUCGCGCCGUCGCGGUCGGGCACCGAGGACAGCCUCGGUGUGGACCGUAUUAACCGCGCCAUUCCCGAGCGAUUGCGCGCGCGCACCGUAGACUUGAGAGGUCUCUAAAGCUCCCUGACCCGUUUGUUUGAACACUACCGUGCGGUGAUCGGGGAAUUGAGUUCGUCGGAUCCAGUGUUCCGCCGUCGCUGUCGAUAGAUGGGUUGUGGAGUUCUCAUGGAUCGAUGGAGCCCAUACCCGAGUUCACUGCGAUUCGGGGUUCGCGUGGGUACCAUCGCCGUCGCCGGUGUUGCGCCACCAUGGUCGAGCUGGUGCUGGGUCGCCGGAGUCCGUAUGGGCGGUGUCGGGGCCGAGUGCUUGUAAAUAAGUGGAAGCCAAGGGGUUUUAGCGAGGAUGUCAGAGACACAAGCAACAGUGGCUGGGAGCUCUGAUUGUUUUAACCAGAGCGCAAGGUCCUUUGUGCAAGCUGGCCAAAGCGGGCGCGGUCUCCCGGGUUUGGGCCAGCUUUGCCUGGUUGUUGGACCGCGCCAGCGGUUUGGGCCCAACACUGUUAGUAGUUUUUCCUUUUCUUUUUCCAAUCAGCUUUAGAAAUCCAUAGAAAAUUUCAGAAAAUGCUAAAAAUAUCAAACCAAUUUUGCUAGACUCCUAAUUUCCAUAGUAUUUAAUAAAAAUAGUUUUAUAAUUUUUAGGUCAAAUAAGGAAUUUUGGAGCAUUUAAAAUAGCCUAAAACAUUGGUUCUGGAUUUCUAGAGAAUAGAUAAUUAUUCCAAAAAUGCCCAAACUUUUUAUUUGAACUCUAAACGUUAUUUAGAAGCCUUGGGUAGAUUUUGGUUUGAUUUGGACCUUGUUUGAUAAUUAGAACCCAAAACCCCCACCCCCUGCUCUUUGAACUUCACUGUUGACUCCGGAAACCCUAAGUUCUCGGAGUUCCGUGAAGGAAAGUUGUACUCAAGACAUAGAUAAUAAGUUUAUAUUAUCUUUGCAUCCUCAUGAGCAUCCCAUGGCAUCCAUUCUUAUACCUAUGUAUGGUUAUGAUUAGAACGUGAAGAAGAGAUAGAAGUCACCGAAGACAGGACACCACCACCUUCGGAAUCCCAGGCCGGGAAUUGUUUCUACUUUGAUAUCUGCGGAUCCGAGCCUG